GACGAACGCUGGCGGCGUGCCUAAUACAUGCAAGUUGAGCGCUGAAGGUUGGUACUUGUACCAACUGGAUGAGCAGCGAACGGGUGAGUAACGCGUGGGGAAUCUGCCUUUGAGCGGGGGACAACAUUUGGAAACGAAUGCUAAUACCGCAUAAAAACUUUAAACACAAGUUUUAAGUUUGAAAGAUGCAAUUACAUCACUCAAAGAUGAUCCCGCGUUGUAUUAGCUAGUUGGUGAGGUAAAGGCUCACCAAGGCGAUGAUACAUAGCCGACCUGAGAGGGUGAUCGGCCACAUUGGGACGGAGACACGGCCCAAACUCCUACGGGAGGCAGCAGUAGGGAAGCUUCGGCAAUGGACGAAAGUCUGACCGAGCAACGCCGCGUGAGUGAAGAAGGUUUUCGGAUCGUAAAACUCUGUUGGUAGAGAAGAACGUUGGUGAGAGUGGAAAGCUCAUCAAGUGACGGUAACUACCCAGAAAGGGACGGCUAACUACGUG
rnacentral:rRNA from 1 species